AUUGAACGCUGGCGGCAGGCUUAACACAUGCAAGUCGAGCGGGGGAAGGUAGCUUGCUACCGGACCUAGCGGCGGACGGGUGAGUAAUGCUUAGGAAUCUGCCUAUUAGUGGGGGACAACAUCUCGAAAGGGAUGCUAAUACCGCAUACGUCCUACGGGAGAAAGCAGGGGAUCUUCGGACCUUGCGCUAAUAGAUGAGCCUACGUCGGAGUAGCUAGUUGGUGGGGGAAAGGCCUACCAAGGCGACGAUCUGUAGCGGGUCUGAGAGGAUGAUCCGCCACACUGGGACUGAGACACGGCCCAGACUCCUACGGGAGGCAGCAGUGGGGAAUAUUGGACAAUGGGGGGAACCCUGAUCCAGCCAUGCCGCGUGUGUGAAGAAGGCCUUAUGGUUGUAAAGCACUUUAGGCGAGGAGGAGGCUACUGAGACUAAUACUCUUGGAUAGUGGACGUUACUCGCAGAAUAAGCACCGGCUAACUCUGUGCCAGCAGCCGCCGUAAGAC
rnacentral:rRNA from 1 species